UGCCAGCCGCCGCGGUAACACGUAGGGGGCAAGCGUUGUCCGGAUUUAUUGGGCGUAAAGAGCAUGUAGGCGGACUGUUAAGUCUGGCGUGAAAGCCCGGGGCUCAACCCCGGAAGUGCGUUGGAUACUGGCGGUCUUGAGUAUGGGAGAGGAAAGUGGAAUUCCGAGUGUAGGAGUGAAAUCCGUAGAUAUUCGGAGGAACACCAGUGGCGAAGGCGGCUUUCUGGACCAAUACUGACGCUGAGAUGCGAAAGCGUGGGGAGCGAACAGGAUUAGAUA
rnacentral:rRNA from 1 species